rnacentral:tRNA from 1 species
GCCGCGGGAGCGGCCGGAGCGGGUGCCGUUGUCGUUGGCGCAGCAGCGGAUGUGGUUCCUGAACCGGUUCGACGACCGGUCCGCGGCC